CAUUUCAAUAGAGGAGCAGGCGCGCAAUUACCCAAUCCUGACUCAGGGAGGUAGUGACAAGAAAUAACAAUAAACCGGCUUAUGCCGGUUUAAUUGGAAUGAGUACAAUUUAAACAUCUUAACGAGGAACAAUUGGAGGGCAAGUCUGGUGCCAGCAGCCGCGGUAAUUCCAGCUCCAAUAGCGUAUACUAAAGUUGUUGCAGUUAAAAAGCUCGUAGUUGGAUUUCUGUGGGGACGGAGCGGCCGGCCGCACAUCGCGGUUCGAGCUAGCGCUUUCCCUACAUCCUGCCGCGAACCGUGCUACCAUUAGUUUGGUGGCGCUGGGGAUCGACUCGAUUACUUUGAGAAAAAUAGAGUGUUCAAAGCAGGCCACAUGCCUUGAAUAAGUUAGCAUGGAAUAAUAACUAAGGACUUCGGUUCUAUUUUGUUGGUGUUCGGGACUGAAGUAAUGAUUGAUAGGGACAGUUGGGGCGGUCUGUAUUCCAAAGCGAGAGGUGAAAUUCUUAGACCUUCGGAAGACAAACAGCUGCGAAAGCGUUCCGCAAGGAUGUUCCCUUUGAUCAAGAACGAAAGUUGGGGGAUCGAAGACGAUCAGAUACCGUCGUAGUCUCAACUAUAAACUAUACCAGCUAGGGAUCGGCCAACGUUAUUUUAUACCGACUUGGUCGGCACCUUAUGAGAAAUCAAAGCAUCUGGGUUCCGGGGGGAGUAUGGUCGCAAGGCUGAAACUUAAAGGAAUUGACGGAAGGGCACCACCAGCCGUGGAGCCUGUGGCUUAAUUUGACUCAACACGGGAAAACUUACCAGGUCCAGACAUAGUAAGGAUUGACAGAUUGAUAGCUCUUUCUUGAUUCUGUGGGUGGUGGUGCAUGGCCGUUCUUAGUUGGUGGAGUGAUUUGUCUGGUUAAUUCCGUUAACGAACGAGACCCCAGCCUGCUAAAUAGCGCGCGUGAGCUUUGCUCGCGGCGAGCUUCUUAGAGGGACUAUGAUGCGCGAUAGCACAUGGAAGUUUGGGGCAAUAACAGGUCUGUGAUGCCCUUAGAUGUUCUGGGCCGCACACGGGCUACACUGGCGCCUGCAACGAGCAUAUCAGCUGGCCCGAGAGGGUCUUGGCUAAUCUUUUGAACCGGCGCCGUGCUUGGGAUUGACCUUUGCAAUUGUUGGUCAUGCAACGAGGAAUGCCUUGUAAACGCGAGUCAUCAGCUCGCAUUGAAUACGUCCCUGCCCUUUGUACACACCGCCCGUCGCUCCUACCGAUGAAUGUUCCGAUGAAAUUUUCGGAGAGCACCUGUGAACUUGGCUCUGCCUUGCGAACGGGAGGCUCAAAGUCACU
rnacentral:rRNA from 1 species